CCUACGGGAGGCAGCAGUGAGGAAUAUUGGUCAAUGGGCUUACGCCUGAACCAGCCAAGUCGCGUGAGGGAAGACUGCCCUAUGGGUUGUAAACCUCUUUUGUCAGGGAGCAACGCCGGCUACGUGUAGCCGGACUGAGAGUACCUGAAGAAAAAGCAUCGGCUAACUCCGUGCCAGCAGCCGCGGUAAUACGGAGGAUGCGAGCGUUAUCCGGAUUUAUUGGGUUUAAAGGGUGCGUAGGCGGAAUGCCAAGUCAGCGGUAAAAUCGCGGGGCUCAACCUCGCUCCGCCGUUGAAACUGGCGGUCUUGAGUGGGCGAGAAGUAUGCGGAAUGCGUGGUGUAGCGGUGAAAUGCAUAGAUAUCACGAAGAACUCCGAUUGCGAAGGCAGCAUACCGGCGCCCAACUGACGCUGAAGCACGAAAGCGUGGGUAUCGAACAGGAUUAGAUACCCCUGUAGUC
rnacentral:rRNA from 1 species